rnacentral:rRNA from 1 species
GCUCGUAUUGGAGUUCUGUUGCGGAAAACUGGUCCGUCUAUCGGGCGGUAUUUAAUUUUGCGUUUCAUCUUCUUGAAAAGCUUUGCUGUGCUUGAUUGCAUGGUGUGGGAAUCAGACAUUUACUUUGAGGAAUUUAGAGUGUUUCAAGCAGGUUUGUGCUGAAAUAGCCUAGCAUGGAAUAAUAACAUGGGGUCUUGGUCUUGUUUGUUGGUUUCUAGCUGAGGAAACAAUCAAUAGGGAUAGCUGGGGGCAUUUGUACUUAACUGUCAGAGGUGAAAUUCUUGGAUUUGUUAAAGACAAGCUACUGCGAAAGCAUUUGUCAAGGAUGUUUUCAUUGAUCAAGAACGAACAGUUAAGGGAUCGAAGACGAUCAGAUACCGUCCUAGUCUUAACCAUAAACAAUGCCAUCUAGAGAUUGGAGGUAGUGCCAAGGAUUACUUCUUCAGCAUCAUUUGAGAAAUCAAAGCUUUUGGGUUCCGGGGGGAGUAUGGUCGCAAGGCUGAAACUUAAAGGAAUUGACGGAAGGGCACCACCAAGGAGUGGAGCCUGCCGGCUUAAUUUGACUCAACACGGGAACAAACUCACCAGAACCAGACCAUAAACAGGAUUGGACAAUGAUAGCUCUUUCUUG